UUGGCUUGCUAGCUCCACCCUGGAAGAAUUGUGUAAAAGGCCUCUAGAGUUCAAGCUUUCACUUUUCUCUUGCCUCUGACCAUUCUGAUGUUUCCUCUGAGACACACUAGCAGGCCGUCUGUGAUGGGGCUCUGCUCAGAAGACCCCCCCUCCUCUGCUGAGCCUCCCUGGCCCUGGAAUAAAGCAGUCUCCUUCUCAGCUUGCAUCGAUGAGCGGGGCUGCCUGGAGCAGAGCUGUUGACCCAGGAAGGCAGCAAAGUGUGGGUGGAUGAUGUAUGUGAAAACACACAGUGAAACCUGCCCACCAGGGUACCAGGAACUGCCUCCCAUCAGCAACUGCAGAAGUGAGCCUGGAAGCAGAUCCUGCCCUGCUGAGCCUGGAACUUAUGAAGCCCCAGACAAGAUUCUGAUUUCAGUCUAGGAGACCCCGAGCCAGGAAACCCAGCUGAACCACCCCUGGGCCCAGAGGCUGUGAGACUACACCUGUUGUCCAACCCCAGACCCUGCAGAGAAAACUCUAAUACGACAUAUUUUCCAGCUCAACAAAACUGAAAAGGAGAGAAAGCCCACAUUUUACUGUGACAUAAAGUCACCUCAUUUAGAAGGAGAAGAUAUUAAUACAGGGAAAGGAGACCCUGCCUCCCUGCUCCACCCAGUGGCCCUCCCUCCCAGGAGCCAGGACCACUCACUGA